GGAGCGGCUCAGCGGUGUGUGGCGGUCCCAGGCAGGGGACUGAACGGCGAGCUUGGCUUGCUGGUUUACAGGCGCCUCAGCUCAGGCACCCUGUCGCCCAUGGCCGUCCAGGGUUUUCAGGGCACCUGUGUCACUCUCCGAAAUUUGUGUCAGCGCUGCGCCAGACUGGGCGCCUUCCCUUGGUUUCGGGUUUUCUCUACUUUUAAAUUUCUGGCGUUAGCGAGAGUUCGAUGUUCAAAUGGGAAAAAAAACUAAGUGCGCCGCCCGGGAAUCGAACCCGGGUCGCAAGAAUGGGAAUCUUGCAUGAUACCACUACACCAGCGGCGCUGUCUAAGACAGUUGCUGCCCGCGGAGACAAGAGACUGUGACGCGGGAAGUCCUCCGGGCGUGCGCCGCCGCUGGCGCCGGGCUCAGCGCAAGGGAGCUGGCGACUGCAUAGGAGGACCCAGCUGGCGGGACCGCGAGGGCACAGGAAAGAGGAGCCCGAGAUCAGUCUCUCUGCGCCUCCCUGCUUCCCCCCUUGAAUGGAGCUGCGUUCAGGAGCUGCCUACAGUGCCCAGCGCAUGGCAGGUUUAGUGUUGCCUGACUUCAGAUAUGGCCUAUUGUUGGGGCUGGAUGUUUGGGCCUCGUGGCUUGACCACCAAUGGCUGAAGCAAACGCUAGCUCUGCUGAGCUCUGGGCCAGCCCAGCUUGU
rnacentral:lncRNA from 1 species